rnacentral:rRNA from 1 species
UACGGGGGGGGGCAAGCGUUGUUCGGAAUUACUGGGCGUAAAGGGCGCGUAGGCGGCUUUUCAAGUCGGGCGUGAAAUCUCCAGGCUUAACCUGGAAGGGUCGUUCGAUACUGUUAAGCUAGAGUGUGGAAGAGGCUACUGGAAUUCCGUGUGUAGCGGUGAAAAUGCGUAGAUAUACGGAGGAACACCCGUAGCGAAGGCGGCCAGCUGGGCCGUCCCCUGACACUGAGGCGCGAAGGCGUGGGGAGCGAACGGG